CAGUGACUACCUACACGUUCGCGUUGCGUCACACAACGGAGUUUCCGAGUUUAAAGUCAAGUGACCUUCUAUUACACACUAUUUAAAUGUUGGAAAUUCAAGUUGAGUGAAACACACAAGCUACUUCAGCACUACAAUGUUAAUUUGCUGUGAAGACGGUGAUUUGUUCUGAAGAAGCAUUGACAUCUUUUCUUCAGAAGGUGGCAGCAUUCAAUAAGUCUGAUAAACUAAACUAAAACCAUGACAACACUUGCAACAGCCUACAUAACACGUGAAAUUGCACACCAAAGUGGGCACAAACAUAGUCAUACUUCACUAGCCUGCAGUUAGCCUAUUUUUGUGUCACCAAAACAGCAGAGGUGACCGCCUCAUACUGUGUAUGACAUCAUCCUUCCUGUUAUCAGAGUCUCCCAGCUCCAUCUGUUAAUCACACCCAUGGGGAGAAGAGUACAGUACAAUAUCACAAGCCCUUAUUUACAGGUACCAAACAACACCCAUGAUUGUUUCCAUUGUGCAGGACUCAGGGUCUGUUUUCAUGACUAUAAACUUACAUUCUAGUUCAUUGUCUCCCUAAUUUUCAUGGAUGAGCUGGGGAAAAUGUUCUCUACGGACAAUAAAUGAUAGCCUUAAAGUCAAUAUGAAAUCAAAAUGGACAAUUCUUGGGUUGUUUAUGAAAUAUUAAAAUAUUAUAUUUCAAAAAUUCAUGUGCUCUCAUAAUCUUUUAUCAAAAUAAAUUCCCCUCCCACUUGCAGAGACAUCUCUUCUCAUCUCUGAUGACGUUUAACCGUACGAAAGUGGGACAACCUGUCACUCACAUGAGACCACAGCAAUAAGCUAGCAAACCACAACUACCCAAUCAAUUUCCAAUGGACAAAAUCAAGCCCCGCCCUACAUUUUUUUCAUGUUCAAGAAGCCCAGUGUUCCCAAGUCCGCGUUAUUUCCGCGGAAUUGGGCUACAUUUACACUGUUGCUGCGGGUUGUUUUUAAUAUCCCCAAAUAACAUAACAUUUAGCCCCUGGGAUGUGAAUUUUUUUUAAUAUGCAACUAAAUUUAACGGACAUAUUCAAAGCCUCAGACAAAAAGCUAGUCGAAAGUCCUGUUCUCUUUUGUUUGCGUUGCAGUUCUGUCAUGUUUGUUUGUUGUACUGUCUAUUGCAGCACUUUUUGUGUUGUAAUGGAUAAUUGAUGUACAGAAGGCAAUGUAAUUCUCAGGUGGCUGCAGACAGCAGAUGGGAAGAGGUCACUCUGCUGGCUGAUAUUUCCAUUCUGCAGCACCAGUGACCCUUUGUCAUCCUCUAUGUGUACACUCCCUUCGCAUCCCCUUCGUCUCUCCCGUCCUCGUGGCAAUCAUACGCUCCGUUGUUUUAUAAAGGGCUCAGAUUUGGCUGCUGUGUAGGGUAGAAUGUACCAAGCCAUUGGACGUUUUCCAUCAGGGAUCACUUAUUCACCUGAGGCCUGAGAGGAAUGCAAUCAGAGGAUGAUGGAACGACAACUGUACAGAUAUGAUGGCAAAGAGUUGGCAGGUGACUUUCAGCGCAUACUAAGAGAGACUGCGAUUUAUGAAUACUCAGCAAUAAGGAGCAUAAUUUGCAUGACCAGAGGGUAUCUGGCAUCAGUACGGGGGACAAGCUUAACUCUCUGAGGUGGCUGAACUCUCACUUUCGGAACCAUCCCUUUAAAUCAGGGUGGAGUUGGGGUUUGUAAGGGGAGACUAUAGAGUCAAAGUCAACAUAAGGUCACACAUAAAUGCUUACAGUGAUGUCAGGGAAUGCUGAUACUGCAAAUGUUUCCUCCUCUGAAGCAUGUGCUACAACACAGAAAUUAGGUCAACAGAAAUAUGAUGGAGUGGGGCUGUCUUUGAUGCUGUCCUUUAACCCAUAAAUACUGCAUUGAGGGUGGGAGCAGAUACAGCUACUCAUGGUGGAGAGGGACGACUGGAAAGCGAGAGGUAAGGAUUGAUGGCUUUUCUCUGUAGCCUGGCACUUUUAUUGUCCAGGGACACCUGAUAAGGGCCAGAGGUUCCCUUCAUCCCAUAAUCAAGCUGUACCACAGAUACCACAGGAACAUCAUCGUCCCAUUUGAACAGGAAGUGAGAAUCUGCCAUGGUCAAAUCAUCUGUGCUCUAUUCAUCACAGCUGUCUUCAAAUGUCAGCACUGAGGGAAAGUGAUGAAGUAUAUGUUCAAGCUAAGCAACUCACUUAACACAUAAUGCUCAUUAUGUGCAGAUCUGGAGUUAAAAAUGAAAUGCUUUGCUUAAAUAUGGCUCUUGCGACAUGAUUAAAUUAAAAUAAUAUAUCAAAUAAACAUGGUUCAAAAUGUCUAAAAUGCUUAUUUUCUCUCAUUCGAAAUGUAAAAAUUGGCUUGACGUAUCGGAGAGUACAGACAACUGCCUGAUUAUUAAUCUCAGAGUACUGGCUGGGAAACUAAAAACACACCGCAAGCCAAUUGAAACUGUUAAUUAGGUCCUAAGAGAAAUCUCCUCUAGUGCAAAAUCACAGCACACAAUUCAUUUAUCAGAUAAUUAACAAUGCUGGAAUAUUUUUAAUAUCUGUGAAAGUUUGCUUCUCCUAUUUGUAACCCAUAGUAUUUCAAGUAAAAUGUUACGUCACAUUUAUGUCACGUCAAAAUUAAACUUAAAAUGGCCUGAAAUUGAAAACAUGAUGACUGUGGGGGUUUUUUAGUGAGCAAUCAGCUUGGUGAAAUUAAAGUUACAUCAUCCCCUGUUUUGAUGACUUAUGACCAAAGCUUGAUGACUGAUAAUAGUUGACUGUUAAAAAUAACAGCUGCACAUAAGUUCACAAAUAAAAUAUAUUGUUUAAAUUAUUACUGCCUUUUUGGAAUAGAUGUAAAAAUGCUUAAAACACUAACUUGAUUUAUACUUGGUUUUAAUAAAUAGAGCAUUAAUAACAUUGUUAAAGUAAAAAUACAACAUUUUUUACCAGGAAAAUGU